GAAUCCGCUAAGGAGUGUGUAACAACUCACCUGCCGAAUGAAUUAGCCCUGAAAAUGGAUGGCGCUGAAGCGGGCAGCCGACACCGCACCGUCUGGACAAAGUGGCGUUUCCGGAUGAGUAGGAGAGCGUGGCGGUCGUAUCGAAGCGUGCGUGCGAACGCGCGUGGAACGGCCGCUAGUGCAGAUCUUGGUGUUAGUAGCAAAUAUUCAAAUGAGAACCUUGAAGGGCGAAGCGGGGAAGGGUUCCACGCGAACAUUGAUUGAGCGUGGGUGAGCCGUUCCUAAACCGAGUGGCAAUCGCUAAUUACCGGUGAAAGGGAAGCAGGUUGACAUUCCUGCGCACGGAUGUGGAUGCGGUGACGCCCGUCUGGGACGAUUACGCUGGCGAGAGCGCUGGGCAGAGUUUUCUUUUCUGUUUGACCAAGCCGCGCGCACUGUGUGGAAUCCGCUUGUCGGGAGAAACACGUGCGUUUGGGCAGAGCGCCGGGAGUUUUCCGGCGUCCAGCUCGCUCUCGACGGCCCUUGAAACAUCGUCUGCUGGCAGAGAGUGACUUUGGUUGCUUUUUGUGCGAAAAAUUCCACGCCGUAACGUACCCAUAACCGCAUCAGGUCCCCAAGGUGAACAGCCUCUGCUCAAUAUGGUAAAUGCAGGUAAGGGAAGUCGGCA
rnacentral:rRNA from 1 species